UACAGAGGGUGCAAGCGUUAAUCGGAAUUACUGGGCGUAAAGCGCGCGUAGGCGGUUUGUUCAGUCCGUUGUGAAAUCCCUGGGCUCAACCUGGGAAUGGCGAUGGAUACUGGCAAGCUAGAGUAUGAGAGAGGUGGGUAGAAUUCCAGGUGUAGCGGUGAAAUGCGUAGAUAUCUGGAGGAAUACCGGUGGCGAAGGCGGCCCACUGGCUUAAUACUGACGCUGAGGUGCGAAAGCGUGGGGAGCAAACAGG
rnacentral:rRNA from 1 species